CCGCCCCCCUAGCGCCGCCAUUUUGUGGCGUCUUCGGAAGAGGAAGCCGGGAGUGCAAACCCCGGGGUCGCUGGGGGCCGGAAGGACUCCGCCGAAGAAUUCCAAGAAUGAAGAAUUAUUCCCAGUCAUGCAAGGGUGAAGAGAGUCUUCUCUGCUGGUGGGAGGAUCAACUGUUUCCGUAUUUUUUGGAAAGCAGUUUGACACAAUGUAUGAAAAGUAAAAAUCUGUCUCAUUAAU
rnacentral:lncRNA from 10 species